AUGACGGCGGCUGGGACAUGCUGGAUAGAAGACACAUGCACUGGAUCAGGACCCGUACGCGCACAGCGCUCACUGGAGAUGCAGGGGCUUGAAGGCGGAGGAUCCAGUGGCACGAUGGUGGGAUCCAAGCGCCGCCGUAGCGAGGCAUGGUGGACGGAAGUAAGCAUCAUCCGCACUUUUGUAUCUCACUGGGCUGCUAUUGGUGCACCAGCGGGCGCCGUUUGGGGCGAUGUCCCUUGGAACGAAUCACCGGUGAUGAGCGAUUCCUGCAUGCGCCCCUGUCUUUGGACUUCUCCCUAG
rnacentral:rRNA from 1 species